rnacentral:rRNA from 1 species
CAGCCGCCGCGGGAAUACGAAGGGUGCAAGCGUUACUCGGAAUUACUGGGCGUAAAGGGUGCGUAGGUGGUUUUUUAAGUCCGUUGUGAAAUCCCUGGGCUCAACCUGGGAAUGGCAGUGGAUACUGGAAAGCUAGAGUGCGGUAGAGGGUAGUGGAAUUCCCGGCGUAGCAGUGAAAUGCGUAGAGAUCGGGAGGAACACCAGUGGCGAAGGCGGCUACCUGGACCAGCACUGACACUGGAGCACGAAAGCGUGGGGAGCAAACAGGAUUAGAUACCCCGGUAGUCCCUGUCUCUUAUAC